UACGUAGGGACCAAGCGUUGUCCGGAAUCAUUGGGCGUAAAGAGCGUGUAGGCGGCUUGUUAAGUCUUGUGUGAAAUCUCGGGGCUCAACCCCGAGCGGUCAUGAGAAACUGGCAGGCUAGAGUGCGGGAGAGGAGAGUGGAAUUCUUGGUGUAGCGGUGAAAUGCGCAGAUAUCAGGAAGAACACCCGUGGCGAAGGCGGUUCUCUGGGACGGUACUGACGCUGAGACGCGAAAGCGUGGGGAGCGAACAGG
rnacentral:rRNA from 1 species